rnacentral:rRNA from 1 species
AUGUUCAAGCUCCACCGCCACCGCUCCUCGGACCGGAGCGUCGGCGAGCGCUUCGAGUUCAGGUUCUCCAGCUUCCGCGCCGUCAUGGUCCCUGCAGUAUCGGACAGGAUGUUCCUUUCGAUAGUCUCUGUGGAUACCGGGAAAACCAUCGCCAAAUCCAGUAAAGCGGCUGCCCGCAGUGGAAUCUGCCAAUGGCCCGAUUCCAUAUCGGAACCGAUAUGGUUUUCUCGAGACGCAGUGUCAAAAGAGUUCGAUGAGUGCCAAUACAAGAUUGUUGUUUCUGUGGGAUCAAUAAGAACUGGUAUUCUUGGCGAAAUUUUCCUAAACCUGUCCAACUUUCUGAAUUUGGCGGACCCAACUGCCAUCUCUAUGCCGUUGAAGAGAUGCAACUCUGGAACAGUUUUGCAGCUUAAGGUUCAAUCUCUUGGCACAAAGCCUAAGUUGGGUGGUGUGAGAUCUUCAAGGGACAUGCCUCCUCGUAUCAGUGACCAUUGUCUAAUAAAUGACGACAUGGAUAACAAAUCAGAUGGCUCUGAUAAUACGGCCAACAGGAGUGUCCGUUCUGCGUCAGGAACUCCUUUAGGGGGCACUUAUCAAGAUGAACCUGGAAACAGGGAAAUGAGUUUCUCAGCAUCAGGGUCUCACCGGAGUUCCAAUUCUGGAGAUAGUACCCAAGAUAGAACAAAUUUGUCUCCGAUAGACAACACUAAUGGUGGAUUGUAUGUCGGAAGGCAGGAUUCAGGUAGUUCCUAUGUCAGCGCUGGCCGUGGUGAUGAAGGAUUGAGAUCAAACAAUUCAUCUUUCAGUUCCCGGGCUUCAGGUCCAAACAUGCUGCAAGGAAAUACUCCCAAAUCCUUUUCAAAUGGGAUUGCUCAGUCAUCAUUGGGGACAACUGAUUCAUCUAAAGAUCUUCUUGAAGCUGCUGAAGAAACAAUUGAAGAACUCCGUGAUGAGGCAAAAAUGUGGGAACGACAUUCUCGCAAAUUGAAGGCUGAUCUAGAGGCGCUGAAGAGGGAAUGUUCUGAGAAAUCAAAGCAACAGACUGAGCUAGCACUUGAACUGUCUGCUGCACAUGCUGAGCGGGAUUCUUACAGGCACGAAAUUGAAGAAUUGAAGUCAUCACGGCAAGAGUCAUCUCGGCAAGAGUCGUUUCGGCCAGAGUUAAGCAGACGGCAAAUAAAAUCUGUAACCCCCAAACGUGGGGACUGGAUCAACAUGGAGAAGGAAGUAGAAGACGAGAUGAAGUUUCUGAAAGAAUCAAAUGCAAGCUUACAGGUACAGCUGAAGAGCACUCAAGAGGCAAAUAUAGAGCUUGUUUCUAUUCUUCAGGAACUGGAAGAGACCAUAGAAGAACAAAGAGCGGAGAUAUCUAAAAUUUCUGAGGCCAAGGAUGUCACUAAUACAGAUGUAUUGAAGAAUGGGUUGUUAGUCAAAGAAGAGACAGAAUGGGCUAGGAAACUGUCAAUGAAAGAAGAUGAAAUCAAUACUUUGAGGCAGAAACUAGAUCGCCUUCUCAGUAUUGAAAAUGCAGGUGCCGCAGGUUCUGAUACCGUUUAUCUUGAAUUGGAGAAAGAAAAUGAAACUCUAAGGGUAAAAAUACAAGAACUUGAGAAAGAUUGUUCUGAACUAACAGAUGAAAAUCUGGAGCUUAUAUAUAAGCUGAAAGAAAGCGGUGUGGGAAAAGGGCAGGAUUCUCAUGUUUCAAACAACAGUGAAUUGCAAAUUGAAAAGCUUACAUCACAAAUAUAUCAACUGGAAGAGGAACUUAGAGACAAGGAAAUGAUGCAUGACGGCAGUUUUACCGAGUCAUCAGUGUCUAAUGCCAAAGAGUUACAGAGGAAGUGUGCUGACCUUGAGCUGAAGCUGCUACGUUUUAGGUCUCAAGGCUUUGAGCUAGAAGAGAAGUUCCGAAAAAGCCAAGAAGAACUAGAACAAAAAAAUCUUGAGUUAUCUAAGCUGAGAGAGGAGCUUGAAGGCUUGGAAGGUGGUGAAACUGGUGGUGCGAGAGGAUACCAAUUUAGAGAAGAUCUAGAGGAUAAUGAAUCUGAGACAGAUAUACUGAAGACCAGAGUCCAGCUACAACAGCAGGAAAAUGAUGACUUGCGGCGCUCCAAAGUCGAAACGGAAAAUUUGAUGUCUGAAAUUCAGGCAGAGAAGAGUCUGUUAGAGGAACGCUUGGCAGCAUCAGUUAAAGAAAGUAGCAUCACUUCCAAAUGCUUGGAUGAAUUGCAACAAGACAUUUUGGUGCUUUCUAGCAGCAUAGAUUCCCAUGUGUCUGCUAAUAAGGUUCUUGAAAGAAAGAUAAAUGAACUCGAGAGCUGCAAAGCAGAACUAGAGUUACAUAUAUCAGAGCUUGAACAGGAAAAUAUAGAGUUGUCAGAACGCAUAUCUGGACUGGAAGCCCAAUUAUCUUACAUUACAAAUGAAAAGGAGUCAAGUGAGCUGCAGAUGCACGACUCAAAAUCCCUUGUCAUCAGUCUCAAAGAUAAAGUAGAGCGACAACAAGUGGAGAUGGAUACUCAAAGGGUUGAGUUUAGACAAAAACAGCAAGAAACACAAAGAAAACUGUCGGAAGCACAGGACGAUUCAGAAGUUCUGAGAAGAUCUAAUUCUAAUCUGCAAUCUACAGUUGAGAACCUUAUUGAAGAGUGCAGUUCCCUUCAAAAUCUGACUGCAGAUCUCAAGAGGCAGAAGUUGGAAUUGCAUGGCCGUUUUAUGCAACAAGAGCAGGAAUUGGAUAACUCGAAAAAAAGGAUCCUUGAUUUUUGUAAAACAGUGGAGUUCCUAGAAUCAAAGCUUUCUUCUCUUCAGAAGGACAUAUCUUGCAAAGAGCAAUCAUUGCUGUCAGAACUGGAGAGUAUAUUCCAGGAGCACACAGAGCAAGAAGAAAAGAUAAAUCGUGCUCAUUUCAUGUUAAAUAAGAUCGAGAAAGAAAAGACUCUUGAAGUAGAGAAUCUUGAGAGGGAGGUCGUGAGCCUCACUGCACAGGUCUCCUCCACACACGAGGAGAGAGAAAAUGCCACAGUAGAUGCCAUUAGGGAGGUCUCUGUCCUGCGAGCUGAAAAGGCCAAACUUGAGGCUAAUUUCGAAAAUGUCAGUGCACAGUUGAGACAUUAUGAGUCUCAACUUGAGGACCUUCGCAAGGAGUCUAAAACCAAGAUUAAAGGUUUGGUUGAUUCCCUUAAUGCAUCCAAACAGAGCGAGGAAAUGUUGACAGCAGAUGCUGAACAUAUGAAGAAGUUGAUGGAGGCUGCUAAAUCCAAUGAAGAUGAGUUACGGAAGUCUUCUGGUGAACUAGAGUUAAAGCUUAAAGCCAGUGACUAUGAGAGACAGCAAAUGAUGGAAGAAAUAUCUGACCUGAAACUUCAGGUCCAGAAAAUAACAAGUCUUCAAGAUGAAGUUUCCAAACUUAGAAGCUCCCUUGACGAGGCUAUGUUUGAAAAGGGAAAAUUGAAGGCGCUGCUAGAGUCUGUGACUGAGGAAUGUGAAGAACUGAAGGCACAGAAAGCGAUGCUAACAGAUAAAGUUUCUGAGAUGCAAGAGACUUUGGACAAUGGUGAAGAAGAAAAACGAAGCAGAAUAUCUAUGCAAGCAAAGCUUGUGAGAUUGGAGAGUGAUCGAUCAGCAUCGGAAGCAUCACAUGUACAUGAAGCAGAGUUAAAGAACGAACUUAGUAGGAUCAGAAGAUCAAAUAGCGAAUACCAGAGGAAGAUACAAUCCCUUGAGCAGGAAAUUGAGGAUCUCACUAGAAAGCAGGAGAUUGGAGAUUCUACAGAUCUUCAGUCGAAGAUUCAAAUACUGGAAACUAAGCUUGCAGAGGCUUUGGAGGAAAAUAAGAUGUACAGGGCUCAACAAAAGAGUCCCGUUGCCGAGGAGCAAUCUGCUGGUGGGGACAGGAUUUUGCAGCUGGAAGGAGAUCUAAGAGAUAUGAAGGAGCGGUUACUCAAUAUGAGCUUGGAGUACGCAGAAGUAGAGGCCCAGCGGGAGCGAUUAGUGAUGGAGCUGAAAUCUGUCAAGAAAGGGGGGCGAUGGUUCUAA